UCAUACGGGAGGCAGCAGUGGGGAAUAUUGCACAAUGGGGGAAACCCUGAUGCAGCCAUGCCGCGUGUGUGAAGAAGGCCUUCGGGUUGUAAAGCACUUUCAGUUGUGAGGAAAAGUUAGUAGUUAAUACCUGCUAGCCGUGACGUUAACAACAGAAGAAGCACCGGCUAACUCCGUGCCAGCAGCCGCGGUAAUACGGAGGGUGCGAGCGUUAAUCGGAAUUACUGGGCGUAAAGCGCACGCAGGCGGUUUGUUAAGCUAGAUGUGAAAGCCCCGGGCUCAACCUGGGAUGGUCAUUUAGAACUGGCAGACUAGAGUCUUGGAGAGGGGAGUGGAAUUCCAGGUGUAGCGGUGAAAUGCGUAGAUAUCUGGAGGAACAUCAGUGGCGAAGGCGACUCCCUGGCCAAAGACUGACGCUCAUGUGCGAAAGUGUGGGUAGCGAACAGGAUUAGAUACCCUGGUAGUCCACACCGUAAACGCUGUCUACUAGCUGUGUGUGUCUUUAAGACGUGCGUAGCGAAGCUAACGCGCUAAAUAAACCGCCU
rnacentral:rRNA from 1 species